rnacentral:tRNA from 1 species
GGGCAGGUAGCUCAACGCAGACAUGCGACCGGUGGAGCACUCGGCGGAUGCGCCGAUCGGUUGGAGGUUCGAGUCCUCCCCUGUCCA